UGACGGUACUUGACUAAGAAGCCACGGCUAACUACGUGCCAGCAGCCGCGGUAAUACGUAGGUGGCAAGCGUUGUCCGGAUUUACUGGGUGUAAAGGGCGUGUAGGCGGAGCAGCAAGUCAGAAGUGAAAUCUAGGGGCUCAACCCCUAAACUGCUUUUGAAACUGUUGCCCUUGAGUAUCGGAGAGGCAGGCGGAAUUCCUAGUGUAGCGGUGAAAUGCGUAGAUAUUAGGAGGAACACCAGUGGCGAAGGCGGCCUGCUGGACGACAACUGACGCUGAGGCGCGAAAGCGUGGGGAGCAAACAGGAUUAGAUACCCUG
rnacentral:rRNA from 1 species